rnacentral:rRNA from 1 species
AAAGAAACUAACAAGGAUUCCCCUAGUAACGGCGAGCGAACAGGGAAGAGCUCAAAUUUGAAAUCUGGCGUCCUCCGGGCGUCCGAGUUGUAAUCUAUAGAGACGUUUUCCGUGCCGGACCGUGUCCAAGUUCCUUGGAACAGGAUAUCAAAGAGGGUGACAAUCCCGUACUUGACACGACGACCGGUGCUCUGUGAUACGUUUUCUACGAGUCGAGUUGUUUGGGAAUGCAGCUCAAAAUGGGUGGUGAGUUCCAUCUAAAGCUAAAUAUUGGCGAGAGACCGAUAGCGAACAAGUACCGUGAGGGAAAGAUGAAAAGCACUUUGGAAAGAGAGUUAAACAGUACGUGAAAUUGUUAAAAGGGAAACGAUUGAAGUCAGUCGUGUCUGGGAGGCUCAGCCGGUUCUGCCGGUGUAUUCCUCUCAGACGGGUCAACAUCAGUUUUGUCCGACGGAUAAUGGCGGCGGGAAAGUAGCACCUCCGGGUGUGUUAUAGCCCGCUGUCGCAUACGCCGGAUGAGACUGAGG